rnacentral:lncRNA from 1 species
GUACGUAUGUACGUAUGUACGUAUGUACGUAUGUACGUACGUACGUACGUACGUAUAUGUACGUAUGUACGUACGUACGUACGUACGUACGUACGUACGUACGUACGUACGUACGUACGUACGUACGUACGUACGUACGUACGUACGUACGUACGUACGUAUAUGUACGUACGUACGUAUGUACGUAGGUACGUAUGUACGUAUGUACGUAUGUAACG